GGGCCUGCAAGGGUUUGGAAUUGCUCGAAAGAAUACAGCUUUGAACAACAUAGGGGGGAUGACCGUAUUCAGGGGCGGUCCUCCUAAAGUGGAGAAAGACUAGGGGAAUAUGGGGUCCGGAUCUUGCGGUGCAUACAGUUUCAGCGGAAGUAGCUGUCCGCUCCCUUGUCCAGUAACCAUUCUGAGUGGGGCUAGAACUUUGACGGGAAAAGCGCCGGGUCCGGGAAAGAAAGGAGUCACACAAAUAGGUGGUGACUUCCUCUACUCGCUUCAGUACAAGAAGGCGGACCUUUUUCCAGCAAGUCGGGUUGCUACCGGGACUACUGUGGAAGCUGGGUGGUUCUGAGGUACCAUCCCCUAGGCUUUCAGUGGCCUAUGGAAGUAGCAUGUCGGGGUGAAGAAGGUGGCUCCAUACCCGGGAAUGUGGGGUGUUUGGUUUGCGCAAAAGACGAAAGGAAAGACGGGGGCGAGCAAGCCCUCUUUUUCCGGAAGAAGGUCGACCCUUACUCUAUUUCCUCAAAGGAAGAAAUAGUCGGGUCGGAGAGAGACAGCCUACCCUCAUUUUGUGGGGAGCUACAGUGCUUUUUCGGACUGAAUUCCAGCAAGACACGGCUCCGGAUAUUUUUAUUCUGGUAUCGCUAGCAGGGGACAGUCUCGUAAAACAGUCUCUCUUAUACCUUUUGUGGUCUAAGGCAAAAAGAAAGCUAUUAACCGCAAGGAAGAUAGUUCCAAACACCCCCCGGGGAGGUGAACCAAAGCUGAGCUUUGGCCCUCGGGGAAGCGGCAGUUUGGGUCGGUGUUCAGCGGGACGGUAGAGGAGGCCUAGCUACUAUAGUCUUACAAGAAACAGAAGCCUCAAUAAAGCGCG
rnacentral:lncRNA from 1 species